GGAGUAUAGCUCAGUGGUAGAACACAUGAUUAGCAUGCAUGAGCCUCUGGGUUCAGUCCCCAGCUCCA
rnacentral:tRNA from 1 species